AAAAUCUCAACUUUAUUAGAAGAGACGCAUUUAUUAGAUAAAAAGCCAAUGCAUGCUUUUACAGUAUGGAAAUUGGUGAUUUAUAAUAACUUGGCAAAUCGCAAAGUGAAAACAGGCGAUAAAUCAUUCAAGUUUCUGACCUAUCAGCUUUCGACGGUAUGGUAUUGGCUUACCGUGGCAGUGACGGUUAACGGGGGAUUAGGGUUCGAUUCCGGAGAGGGAGCCUGAGAAACGGCUACCACAUCUAAGGAAGGCAGCAGGCGCGCAAAUUACCCAAUUCUAACAGUUUGAGAGAGGUAGUAACAAGAAAUAACAAUACAAGGCAAUUAAAAUGCUUUGUAAUUGGAAUGAUAGAAAUUUAAACCCUUUUUAAAGUAUCAAUUGGAGGGCAAGUCUGGUGCCAGCAGCCGCGGUAAUUCCAGCUCCAAUAGCGUAUAUUAAAAUUGUUGCAGUUAAAAAGCUCGUAGUUGAAGUUCUGCUAAAAGUAACCGGUCUGCUUUUAAUAAAAGUGGUAUCUUGGUGUGUAUUUAGCAAUGAUGUC
rnacentral:rRNA from 1 species